UUGAAAGGGAAACGAUUGAAGUUCGUCCAGGUGGGGAGGAAUCAACCCGAGGGUUUGCUUUUGUGUGCCAUUUUUUGCCUGGCCGGUUAGCCUCAAUUUUGGUUGUCAUAAAAUUAUUGGGGUAAGGUGGCUCCCCUUGGGGAGUGUUAUAGGCCUUGGUAGAAGUGAUGACCGGGAUUGAGGAAUGCAGGGAAUGCUACUUGGCUAGUCCCCUGGAUUUCUGUUGAUCACCUCGCCGUCGAUAGCUUUGCUAACCUCGGUGGGAU
rnacentral:rRNA from 1 species